UACGUAGGGUGCGAGCGUUGUCCGGAAUUAUUGGGCGUAAAGAGCUCGUAGGCGGUUUGUCACGUCUGCUGUGAAAUCCCGAGGCUCAACCUCGGGCCUGCAGUGGGUACGGGCAGACUGGAGUGCGGUAGGGGAGAAUGGAAUUCCUGGUGUAGCGGUGGAAUGCGCAGAUAUCAGGAGGAACACCGAUGGCGAAGGCAGUUCUCUGGGCCGUAACUGACGCUGAGGAGCGAAAGCCAGGGGAGCAAACGGG
rnacentral:rRNA from 1 species